rnacentral:sRNA from 1 species
AUCGUUUGUUUCUAUGUCCAGAGACAAGUACAGUACAGUGUUCUUAUUUGUUUGCUCCCCCUUUUAAAAUGUUUAAUAGCUUAUGAUCGCUUCUCAUAGCUCCUUUCUUUAUGAAAAAUAACAUGAAAAUAGAAAAGUUGUGCUAAGUAUACUUUUUGUAUAUAUUCUAGACUUAUCAGAUGUAGACUUCCUAGAUGAUUCUUCAACGGAGAGUUUGCUUCUGAGUGGGGAUGAAUACAAUCAGGACUUUGAUUCAACCAAUUUUGAGGAAUCUCAGGAUGAGGAUGAAGCUCUUAAUGAAAUUGUGCGAUGUAUUUGUGAGAUGGAUGAGGAGAAUGGCUUCAUGAUCCAGUGUGAAGAGUGCUUGUGUUGGCAGCACAGCGUGUGCAUGGGACUGCUGGAGGAGAGCAUUCCAGAGCAGUACAUCUGCUAUAUCUGCCGGGACCCACCAGGUAAG